GGGGGCAGAGCUCAGUGUAGAGCACAUGCUUAACAUGCACCAGGUCCUAGGUUCAAUUCCCAGUACCUCCA
rnacentral:tRNA from 1 species